rnacentral:rRNA from 1 species
UACGGAGGGGGCGAGCGUUAUCCGGAUUUACUGGGCGUAAAGCGUGUGCAGGCGGGGAUACAAGUGGUGUAUGAAAUUUCCCAGCUUAACUGGGAAGGGUUAUGCCAGACUGUAUUUCUGGAGUGCGAGAGAGGGUCGCGGAAUUCCCGGUGUAGAGGUGAAAUUCGUAGAUAUCGGGAGGAACACCGAUGGCGAAGGCAGGUCUCUGGGCCGAUACUGACGCUGAGGAGCGAAAGCGUGGGGAGCGAACGAGGA